CUUUUAGUUUUAUGGUGUCUGAGUGCAAGACUUCUUUAGCUGAUAUGUGUUUAUACUAAAUCUGUUGCUGAAAGCAUAAAAACCGAGCAUACACUCUCAUCUGACCUCAGCAUCUGGUGUAGGUCAAGGUCAGAGGAGACAGAAGCAGAAGGGACUGGAUGUGAUACAGAGAUGUUCUGCCAGAAACGCUGCUGCAGUCUCAUUCAUUACUGUGCAGGCUUUUUGUGUUUGGCCAGUAUGCAACGACCAGAAGACCCUAGCAAAAAUAGUGGUUAAAUUGGCCGAACAUCCACAUUUUCUUCAUAUUGCUCCAUUUCUUGAAGGUGUGAGGAA
ensembl:lncRNA